CAGCCGCCGCGGUAAUACGAAGGAUGCAAGCGUUACUCGGAAUUACUGGGCGUAAAGCGUGCGUAGGUGGUGGUUUAAGUCCGUUGUGAAAGCCCUGGGCUCAACCUGGGAAUUGCGGUGGAUACUGGGUCACUAGAGUGUGGUAGAGGAUAGUGGAAUUUCCGGUGUAGCAGUGAAAUGCGUAGAGAUCGGGAGGAACAUCAGUGGCGAAGGCGGCCAUCUGGGACAACACUGACGCUGAGGCACGAAAGCGUGGGGAGCAAACAGGAUUAGAUACCCCUGUAGUCCCUGUCUCUUAUAC
rnacentral:rRNA from 1 species